rnacentral:rRNA from 1 species
GACGAACGCUGGCGGCGUGCUUAACACAUGCAAGUCGAACGGAAAGGCCCUGCUUUUGUGGGGUGCUCGAGUGGCGAACGGGUGAGUAACACGUGAGUAACCUGCCCUUGACUUUGGGAUAACUUCAGGAAACUGGGGCUAAUACCGGAUAGGAGCUCCUGCUGCAUGGUGGGGGUUGGAAAGUUUCGGCGGUUGGGGAUGGACUCGCGGCUUAUCAGCUUGUUGGUGGGGUAGUGGCUUACCAAGGCUUUGACGGGUAGCCGGCCUGAGAGGGUGACCGGGGACAUUGGGACUGAGAUACGGCCCAGAAUCCUACGGGAGGCAGCAGUGGGGAAUAUUGCAGAAUGGGCGGAAGCCUGAUGCAGCAACGCCGCGUGCGGGAUGACGGCCUUCGGGUUGUAAACCGCUUUCGCCUGUGACGAAGCGUGAGUGACGGUAAUGGGUAAAGAAGCACCGGCUAACUACGUG